CAGGUUUCAAGCAAUAUGGGAAAGAAAAAGGAUCUCUCUGUUGCAGAAAAGCAUUAAAUAGUGCAAUGAAAAUGCUGGCCAACAACCUGGGCAAGGAAUUCUACUACUCUGGUCCAAAGACAUUGUGAACCCCUUCUGGUGGUGCUGUAAGCAAGCUGAAACCUAUAAACAGUUUCUGGUACAGACGACUGUACAAGAAGUCAAGGAGCUGGUGUGUGUAUGCUGUGAAGGAGAAGACCUACAGCUACAUCCCUGACCUACAGCGAAAAGUCUACCUGAUUUCCGAGCCUUCAACUGCCAAUCAACACCAACUGUAGAGAUUCCUAGCCUUGCUGCUGACAUCUUUCCAAACAUUACCUGAUUGUGAAUAGAAUUUGGAAGAUACAGACCAUAGAAAACAACCUAGCAAUGUCUCAACAUUGCCUCUGUACUUGUGCCUUGUAAAUAAAAUAAAGCCUUUAUUUUCAAACACUAGUGCAGCAUAUAUAAAGUUACCUAGAAAAAAAAAGUAUAUAACAUUUUAAUCUCAGGUGAC
rnacentral:lncRNA from 1 species